ACUCCUACGGGAGGCAGCAGUGGGGAAUAUUGGACAAUGGGCGAAAGCCUGAUCCAGCCAUGCCGCGUGUGUGAAGAAGGUCUUCGGAUUGUAAAGCACUUUAAGUUGGGAGAAAGGGCAGUAAGUUAAUACCUUGCUGUUUUGUACGUUACCAACAGAAUAAGCACCGGCUAACUUCGUGCCAGCAGCCGCGGUAAUACGAAGGGGUGCAAGCGUUAAUCGGAAUUACUGGGCGUAAAGCGCGCGUAGGUGGUUCAGCAAGUUGGAUGUGAAAUCCCCGGGGCUCAACCUGGGAACUGCAUCCAAAACUACUGAGCUAGAGUACGGUAGAGGGUGGUGGAAUUUCCUGUGUAGCGGUGAAAUGCGUAGAUAUAGGAAGGAACACCAGUGGCGAAGGCGACCACCUGGACUGAUACUGACACUGAGGUGCGAAAGCGUGGGGAGCAAACAGGAUUAGAUA
rnacentral:rRNA from 1 species